UACGUAGGUGGCAAGCGUUGUCCGGAUUUACUGGGCGUAAAGAGCGCGCAGGCGGUCGGAUAAGUCGAAUGUGAAAGCCCCCGGCUCAACUGGGGAGGGUCAUUCGAUACUGUUCGACUCGAAGGCAGGAGAGGGAAGUGGAAUUCCCGGUGUAGUGGUGAAAUGCGUAGAUAUCUGGAGGAACACCGGUGGCGAAGGCGACAUCCUGGACCGGUAUUGACGCUGAGGCGCGAAAGCCAGGGGAGCAAACGGG
rnacentral:rRNA from 1 species